rnacentral:rRNA from 1 species
GUAGGGAAUAUUGCACAAUGGAGGAAACUCUGAUGCAGCGACGCCGCGUGAGUGAUGAAGGCCUUCGGGUCGUAAAGCUCUGUCGUAUGGGACUAACACAAUGAAGGUACCAUGCAAGAAAGGAUCGGCUAACUUCGUGCCAGCAGCCGCGGUAAGACGAGGGAUCCUAGCGUUGUUCGGAAUUAUUGGGCGUAAAGCGGGUGUAGGCGGAUUUAUAAGUCAGGUGUGAAAUCCCAGGGCUCAACCCUGGAAGUGCACUUGAUACUGUAAGUCUUGAGUGUGGUAGAGGCUAUUAGAAUUCUUGGUGUAGUGGUGAAAUACGUAGAUAUCAAGAGGAAUACCGGAGGCGAAGGCGGAUAGCUGGGCCAACACUGACGCUGAGACCCGAAAGCGUGGGGAUCAAACAGGAUUAGAAACCCGAGUAGUCC